rnacentral:rRNA from 1 species
AGUUUGAUCCUGGCUCAGAUUGAACGCUGGCGGCAGGCUUAACACAUGCAAGUCGAGGGGAAACGACAUCGAAAGCUUGCUUUUGAUGGGCGUCGACCGGCGCACGGGUGAGUAACGCGUAUCCAACCUGCCCACCACUUGGGGAUAACCUUGCGAAAGUAAGACUAAUACCCAAUGAUAUCUCUAGAAGACAUCUGAAAGAGAUUAAAGAUUUAUCGGUGAUGGAUGGGGAUGCGUCUGAUUAGCUUGUUGGCGGGGUAACGGCCCACCAAGGCGACGAUCAGUAGGGGUUCUGAGAGGAAGGUCCCCCACAUUGGAACUGAGACACGGUCCAAACUCCUACGGGAGGCAGCAGUGAGGAAUAUUGGUCAAUGGGCGAGAGCCUGAACCAGCCAAGUAGCGUGCAGGAUGACGGCCCUAUGGGUUGUAAACUGCUUUUAUAAGGGAAUAAAGUGAGUCUCGUGAGACUUUUUGCAUGUACCUUAUGAAUAAGGACCGGCUAAUUCCGUGCCAGCAGCCGCGGUAAUACGGAAGGUCCGGGCGUUAUCCGGAUUUAUUGGGUUUAAAGGGAGCGUAGGCCGGAGAUUAAGCGUGUUGUGAAAUGUAGAUGCUCAACAUCUGCACUGCAGCGCGAACUGGUUUCCUUGAGUACGCACAAAGUGGGCGGAAUUCGUGGUGUAGCGGUGAAAUGCUUAGAUAUCACGAAGAACUCCGAUUGCGAAGGCAGCUCACUGGAGCGCAACUGACGCUGAAGCUCGAAAGUGCGGGUAUCGAACAGGAUUAGAUACCCUGGUAGUCCGCACGGUAAACGAUGGAUGCCCGCUGUUGGUCUGAAUAGGUCAGCGGCCAAGCGAAAGCAUUAAGCAUCCCACCUGGGGAGUACGCCGGCAACGGUGAAACUCAAAGGAAUUGACGG